rnacentral:misc_RNA from 1 species
GAUGAAGAACGCAGCGAAAUGCGAUAAGUAAUGUGAAUUGCAGAAUUCAGUGAAUCAUCGAAUCUUUGAACGCACCUUGCACCCUUUGGAAUUCCAAAGGGUAUGCUCGUUUGAGUGUCAUUGUACUCUCACACUCUCCGAUCCUUUGGAUUUGGGGAGCGGUGGACUUGGGUGUUUGCUGCUUUCAUUGUGGCUCACCUCAAAUGUGUCAGUGCAUCUCUUGAUUGGACAUAGUACGGCGUGAUAUGUGUCUUCGUCGGCACCUCAUAAGAGGGUGGCCGAUCAGGAGCUCUGUGCUUUCAAACUGUCUUCGGACAAUCUCUGACAACUUGACCUCAAAUCGAGUAGGACUACCCGCUGAACUUAAGCAUAUCAAUAAGCGGAGGA